AUUGAACGCUGGCGGAGGCCUAACACAUGCAAGUCGAGCGGAUGAAGGGAGCUUGCUCCUGGAUUCAGCGGCGGACGGGUGAGUAAUGCCUAGGAAUCUGCCUGGUAGUGGGGGAUAACGUCCGGAAACGGGCGCUAAUACCGCAUACGUCCUGAGGGAGAAAGUGGGGGAUCUUCGGACCUCACGCUAUCAGAUGAGCCUAGGUCGGAUUAGCUAGUUGGUGGGGUAAAGGCCUACCAAGGCGACGAUCCGUAACUGGUCUGAGAGGAUGAUCAGUCACACUGGAACUGAGACACGGUCCAGACUCCUACGGGAGGCAACAGUGGGGAAUAUUGGACAAUGGGCGAAAGCCUGAUCCAGCCAUGCCGCGUGUGUGAAGAAGGUCUUCGGAUUGUAAAGCACUUUAAGUUGGGAGGAAGGGCAGUAAGUUAAUACCUUGCUGUUUUGACGUUACCAACAGAAUAAGCACCGGCUAACUUCGUG
rnacentral:rRNA from 1 species